rnacentral:rRNA from 1 species
UGACGGACUCCAAGGCGCUCACGUCGAAGGCCGCCGCGAAGGCCGACUUGGAGAGCGACUUGCAGGCGGC